GUUUCCGUGGGUGUAGUGGUUAUCCACGUCCGCCUAACACGCGGAAGGUCGCAGGUUCGGUCCCUGCCGGAAACA